GGAGAAUGUAGUGUUACCGUGA
rnacentral:miRNA from 1 species